UUCCCACUCCAUCCCCUUUCCAGCUCCCUUUCCCACUGAGGCCCACUUUUACCACUCAAUAAAGUCCUCCACAUUCACCACCUUCAAUUUGUUCAUGUGACCUCCUGUACAUUUAAACCAUUCUAAAUGUUUACGAGUAUUUAGAUACGAGAAGAAAUUAGACCCAAAUUAUGCAUCAAUAUCCAAUACAUGUGCACUGUGUAUUCAAGAUCAAUAUAAUCUCCCACAGACUGUUCUGCUGAGUUAGCUAAUAUACAAAGACUUAGUUUGUUUUCUAUAUGUUAGAACAUGAAAGAAAAGAUAUGUAGCUCACUGCCAUUCCAAAAUCCCAACAAAUUAUGGAACUGCCUCCAUUGUGAAGCUGGCUAGUUUUCUUUUUUCUUUUUUUUGUUUUUUAACAGAGUUUCACUCUUGUCACCCAGGCUGGAGUACAGUCGAGCAAUCUCGGCUCACUGCAACCUCUGCCUUCUGGGUUCAAGCGAGUCUCCUGCCUCAGCCUCCCAAGUAGCUGGGAUUACAGGCAUCUGCCACCACACCCAGCUAAUUUUUUUGUAUUUUUAAUAGAGAUGGGGUUUCACCAUGUUGGGCAAGCCGGUCUUGAACUCCUGACCUCAGGUGAUCUGCCCACCUUGGCGCUAGUUGUUUUUUAAAAGCCAUCUUUCUAAUGAAAUGUAACACUGAUGAUUGCCUUACACAUAGAUAACAUUAGGCCUCACAUAGUAAUCUCAGUGCUAACUACAUGUCUUACCCUUCCUAAAAUUUUACAUUUUCUCUGUGGUUAAAGUCAUCUUACAAAAAGACCCACAUUUUACAAAGAUUUAAUUGUCUUGGAUUUCAAAUUACAACUAGUUUGAUAGCCAAAAGGUUAAAAACAAAUUGAUUUUAUGAAAAAUUCUUAUAGUAUUAAAUUUGACAUGGAUUACCAUUAAUAAUAGAAUCCUCUGCUGGCUGUGAGACAUGCAAAGUUGCAAAGCCCAGAUCCACAGAUUAGAAAGGAUUUUGACAUGUAUAAUUGUGUUAGUCAGUUUGGGCUGCUAUAACAAGAUAUCAUAGACUGAGCGAUUUAAACAACAGAGAUUGAUUUCUGGAGUUCUGGAGCCUAGGAUAGUCCAGGGUCAGGGUGUCAGCAGACUGUGACUGGUGAAGACCCCCUUCCUGGUUUGCAGAUGCUGUCUUCUUGUAUCCUUAGAUGGCGGAGAGAGAGAUCAUCUUUUCUUAUAAGGGCAGGAAUCACACCUAUGAGGGCUCCACACUCAUGACCUAAUCACCUCCCCAAGGCCCCAACUCCAAAUAUCAUCAACUUGGGGGUUAGGCUUCAAUAUAUGAAUUUUGGGGGGACACAGAUAUUCAUUCACAGUAAUAGCACUGUUGACAGCACACACAGAUACCCCACAUUCUUUUGCUCUUUCUGUAAGCCUCUUCCAACUGCUUUGUGCUUUGCUUCCGAAGGCCUGCAACUGAGACUUUUUUUUUUUUUGAGACUGAGUCUUCCUCUGUAACCCAGGCUGGAAUGCAGUGGCAUGAUCUCAGCUUACUGCAACCUCUGCCUCCUGGGUUCAAGCAAUCCUCCUGCUUCAGCCUCCUGAGUAGCUGGGAUUACAGGCACCUGCCACCAAACCUGGCUAAUUUUUGUAUUUUUAGUGGAGAUGAGGUUUCACUAUAUUGGCCAGGCUGGUCUCGAACUCCUGACCUCUUGAUCCGCCUGCCUCAGCCUUCCAAAGUGCUGGGAUAACAGGCAUGAGCCACCAGACCCGGCCGCAACUGGGACUGUCUUUAAGGAUCUCUGCAUGGAG
rnacentral:lncRNA from 10 species